rnacentral:rRNA from 1 species
GAUGAACGCUGGCGGCGUGCCUAAUACAUGCAAGUCGAGCGAACAGACGAGGAGCUUGCUCCUCUGACGUUAGCGGCGGACGGGUGAGUAACACGUGGAUAACCUACCUAUAAGACUGGGAUAACUUCGGGAAACCGGAGCUAAUACCGGAUAAUAUAUUGAACCGCAUGGUUCAAUAGUGAAAGACGGUUUUGCUGUCACUUAUAGAUGGAUCCGCGCCGCAUUAGCUAGUUGGUAAGGUAACGGCUUACCAAGGCAACGAUGCGUAGCCGACCUGAGAGGGGGAGCGGCCACACGGGAACGGAGACCCGGUCCAAACCCCUACGGGAGGCAGCAGUGGGGAAUCUUCCGCAAGGGGGGAAAGCCUGACGGAGCAACGCCGCGGGAGGGAUGAAGGUUUUGGGAUCGUAAAACUUUUUUUUUAGGGAAAAAAAAAUGGGUAAGUAAUUUUCCCCGUCUUGACGGUACCUAAUCAAAAAGCCCCGGCUAACUACGU